rnacentral:rRNA from 1 species
GCUGGCGGCGUGCCUAAUACAUGCAAGUCGAGCGAAGUUUUUCUGGUGCUUGCACCGGAAAAACUUAGCGGCGAACGGGUGAGUAACACGUAAAGAACCUGCCUCAUAGACUGGGACAACUAUUGGAAACGAUAGCUAAUACCGGAUAACAGCAUUAACUGCAUGGUUGAUGUUUAAAAGUUGGUUUUGCUAACACUAUGAGAUGGCUUUGCGGUGCAUAGCUAGUUGGUGGGGUAAAGGCCUACCAAGGCGACGAUGCAUAGCCGACCUGAGAGGGUGAUCGGCCACACUGGGACUGAGACACGGCCCAGACUCCUACGGGAGGCAGCAGUAGGGAAUCUUCCGCAAUGGGCGAAAGCCUGACGGAGCAACGCCGCGUGAGUGAAGAAGGAUUUCGGUUCGUAAAGCUCUGUUGUUAGGGAAGAAUGAUUGUGUAGUAACUAUACACAGUAGAGACGGUACCUAACCAGAAAGCC